GGAUCUGUGUUGAACACCGUUGCCUGAGGACGCUGACGGACUCCUCCUUCCAGAUGUCAACCUGAGGUCC